CAAAUGAUGCUGAAGAAUGCAGAUGGCGCGUUCUGUGUACAAAUGAAGGGAGAAAUAUUCCAUGCUUAAAUUCUGAAUGUAGCCUGGUAGUUUGCAGUUGCUAGGGUCACAUACCCUGAGUAUUCGUUGGAUCAGGUGUAGUUCUUCAUGGAUGUUAGAGGGAUUGGCUUCUCUUUUGUGGUAUUCGGAGCAUAUCAUUUUUAGCGCUGUUUUACUCAGACUUUCACUUAUGUUCCCAGACAGAAGCUGUGAAUCAGUGUUCGACUCACUGUAUGUAUGUUUUGAUCCAAUGUCAGAAUCCAUGAAUAUUUGUUGCGAGUCUGUCUGCAUUUCCAGAUUCUGUGUCACAAUGUGUUUCCUCAUAGUCCAUCUCUGUUUGAGAAGUAGAGACUAAUAAAGAAAGAAUACAACAUACCUUUUUUUUCUUAAAGUAAAGAAUCCAAUAUGCUUGUUUGCUUCUGUUAAGAAAAAGUUAGCAAUGUAGAAGAUAUUCCAAGUUGGAAAACGCUGGCCUGAUGACAGAUAACAGUGUCCAGGUGCAGAUAAAGCGUAAGAGAGCAUCAAGUGCAAAAACAACAGCAGGAUAUUAAGUAACUGAGGUAAAAUGCAAAAGAAAAGUGAUUGUUUUAUUCUACUGGCCGUUUAUAAUAAGGCAUAAACAAGAUCAAUAAAAAUUCAGAAGACAAAAUUGGUUUAAAAGCAGAUUUGCCAGAAGUAGUC
rnacentral:lncRNA from 1 species